GCCGGGCCGCCCGCGCCGUCACCCGGCAACGGGACUCAGCGCCCCGGCGGACCGCGCCGCCGGCUCCGCCCCGUAUCCCUCCGCCCAGAGGGCGGCCCGGAUCGCUGAUCCCGGAUCCGCGGGGCCGCGUCGGGCGGGCCAGAUGUGGGGGAGCCGUGAUCUGGGACAGCCGCGCUGCUGUGUCCGGUCCUAUCCCAUCCCAUCCCUUGCCAUUCCCAUCCCCGUCCGUAGGGCCCGAGCGCCGGCGAGCCGCCUCCGUGGCGGGGCCGCGGCGCAGGAAGGGCGGGGGGAGGGAGGAGGGGAAGUGUCCCUUUGCCCUGGUUGUCCAGCUUCUCGCCCGCCGGGACAGCGCCGCGCGCUCCGCCGGGCGCCUGAGGGGAGAAGGGAAGGGGCGGGCGAGGCCCUGGGAAGGCACCGCCCGGGCGGGCGGCGGGAGCGGCGCCGGCCUGGGGCGGCCGUGAGGCGGGAGAGCCGCCCGCGCCCCCUCGGGAGCGCUGGGGACGGGAACACCUAGGGUCCGGGCGGGAAUGCGAGGGAGGAAGCGGGGGAUAAUGAUGGAGCGUAGCCGUGGUGUUUGACAUGUGAGGUCCUUUUGAAAUCCUCCGAGCGACUCCGAGGAGGGCAAGGUUAACAAAUAAAAAAGUUUAUUUUGCUGCGGAAUGAAAGCCCGUCUGGGAGGGGAAGUCGUCUGUCAGGAGAUUGGUGCCAUUGAAAGUCGUGUUUAGUAGAUAUUGGCCACGUUCUCAGUCAAUGAAAAUGCUGAAAACGGAGUUGAUUGCAUUCUACUAGCUGACGAUCUGGCCACAGAUUUUGGAAUGAGUGUACUACAAGAGUCAUACCAUCUUUAUUAAUGAGCUAUAUAAAACAAGAAGUGAAAGAAACACAUGAAAUUGUAUUGAGUUCUUAAAAUAAUUGAAUUGAAGGUAUUAUUCUUUUCCUCGGCAUUUUCUGAACAAGAUACUCUGUUGCAGACCCUGCUAAUAGAGAAGAUCCAUUGUGUAUUAAUGUCUUGUUGUCCUGGAACUUUGACAUUAUGUUUUGACUGAUCAGAAAAGCUUUCUUAUCUGAUCCUAUGGUAAAAAACUGCAAAGCAAAGAGAUUGCAUGUUCUCAGACACUUAAAAAAACCCCCAAAAACAAAUCAACCAAAAAACCAAACUUUGUUUGAAAGCUGUGGCAGGUAAGGGAAUCUGUAUACAUGACUUAUAGGCUGUAAUAAGAUGAUGAUUAUUAUUAUUAUUAUUGUUGUUGUUGUUAUUAAUAAUCAUUAUGUUGAUAUUUUUGUGUGUGUGAACUGUUUUUCUGGGAGCAAAACAAAAAAUGGCCAUUGCUACUUUCUGAUAGAACUGAUAGGCUGAGAAGUGCUGCCAUUAAAAAUAACUAAUUCCAUAGAUAUCAAAGAACCAUUGAGUGGUUGAUAAUACCAGCAGCUGAAAAAGUCAAGUUUGACAAAAGCAGCAUUUAAGAAUGGUAUUGAAUCCAACCAAAAAUAUUAACUAUUUUGAGAUUAGAAAAAAAAUAAAUCUGGAAAUACAUGUGGAUCUCUAGUACCUGCCUUUCCAAAGCUGUAACUGCUCUAAGGAGAGAUUUCUAGCUAGCAUGAUUGACUACAGGGCUGUCAGCCUGAAAUAGAAAACACUUGAGCAGCAUGAGAGAAAAAAAGGGUAUUUUUCUGUCAAGAAGUAGCUAAUAUUUCGAUAUUUUGCAGCUACACUGAUAUGCUCUCUAAAGUAUCUUUCGUGAUAUUUUGGCUUCUAAUUCUGACUAAAUUAGAUUUAGAUGCUCAUUUGAAGAGUUACUCAUUGGAACUUGUUAAUGGGAAGAAAACUAUCUCACUUUCCAAGGCCAGUUUCAUUAGGAUUUUUUGUUGAAAUAGAAGUGUCUUUUGAGUUUGAUACUAUUUGAAUAUCAUCUGCCAAGAAACAAAAAAGCAGGCAUACUUCAACUGGCUGAACAAAAUUUGCUGUCUUGAUGUUAUAAAAAACCCACACACAUUUUGGCAGUUGAAGAGGUCAUGAAAUAAAGGAGCAGUUAAAUGUCUAGACCCAGCCAGCUUUUCCAGGUGUACAGAAUUCAUUUGUAGGGGUCAGUUCCCUGUAAGAAAGCACCAUGUUUUUUUCCCCUUAGGCUGACUGUAGGCCCUACUGUGGUCACAUAACACAAGGAGGAGCCACUAAAGACCAAGCUAAUCACACUAUGUAAGGUGGUGUAUCCAAGUGGAAUAUUAGAUGCCGGGAUUGGGCUGCAACUACAGACCACCGAUGGGAGUAUAAUCAAGAUGGAUCGCUCGAAUGGAAUUUGUCAAAGGGGUAAAAUGAAUGCAAUAGCAUUAAAUAAGAGAAUAGUUUAUCUCUCAGAAUAAAUAUUUUCUUCCUGAA